ACAAAGAUGUUGAUGGAUCAAUGA
rnacentral:siRNA from 1 species